rnacentral:tRNA from 1 species
UAACUCAGUUGGUAGAGUACUUGCCUUGGAUGCACAAGGUCCUGGGUUCAAUCCCCAG